rnacentral:rRNA from 1 species
AUACGGAAGGUGCGAGCGUUAUCCGGAUUCAUUGGGUUUAAAGGGAGCGUAGGCGGAGCGCCAAGUCAGCUGUGAAAUCCCGCGGCUCAACCGUGGAACUGCAGUUGAAACUGGCGCCCUUGAGUGCACAUGAGGAUGGCGGAAUUCGUGGGGUAGCGGUGAAAUGCAUAGAUAUCACGAAGAACUCCGAUCGCGAAGGCAGCAUUCCGGCCCGUCAACGACGCUCAUGCUCGAAGGUGCGGGUAUCAAACAGGAUUAGAUACCCUGGUAGUCCGCACAGUAAACGAUGGACACCCGCGGUUUGGCCUGUAUGGCUGAGCCGCCAAGCGAAAGCGUUAAGUGUCCCACCUGGGGAGUACGCCGGCAACGGUGAAACUCAAAUGAAUUGACGGGG